rnacentral:tRNA from 1 species
GGUCCCGUAGCGUAGUGGCUUAACGCGCCUGCCUGUCACGCAGGAGAUCGCCGGUUCGAAUCCGGUCGGGACCGCCA